GAGAGAGAGCGAGAGAGGAAGAGAAUAUAAUCAGACAGGUGAACAGAACAAAGCAAUACACUGGAUUCUGAAGGAUUCAGCAAAAGCUGCCCAGUCACAGAUGAGAGCCACUGAGUAAUUUCUCCAUGGUAGAGGAGAUGCUUCUGGUGUUCCA